GCGCCAGUAGCUCAGCAGGAUAGAGCGGUGGAUUUCUAAUCCGCUGGUCGGGGGUUCGAAUCCCUCCUGGCGUG
rnacentral:tRNA from 1 species